GAUUAAAACUUAAAUUUUAAUAUUUUAUAAUUUAAAAACAGCUCUAAAUCACUGAAUUAAAAUUAAUUGAUAAAGAGAUUUCGAGUGACAUGAUUAGACCACAUUUUAAUAGCUGUCAUUAAUUGAACAUAAAGAAAACAUAAUGAUAACUCAAGCUAGUGAAAGUCUGAAUUAUACCAUAAAACAAGGUUAAUUUUGUUGAUCAUGCUAAUGCUUUUAAAGCUCAAAUAUUAUUGCUUUUUCACAGUUGUAGAGAGGCUAAGAAUCUCUAAAAGGAAAAAAUUGAAGUUCUCCCAUCCUCCUUUCACUUGUAAUGAACUCCCAUACGCUAAAAAUUAUUUGGUAUAGCUAUUGUAUCUACAGUAGAUUGAUUUUCAUAGUUGAUUAUGAUGGAACUUACUAUAAUCAAUGUCUAUAAUAAAAUCACUGUAAAUAGGAUUAUAUUUUAAAAUUUUUACCUGUAAACACCGCUACCAAAUUUUUUUUUUUUUUUAUCAAAAUGCCCUCUAAGAUAAUGGCUUAGUUAUUGAAAAGGUUUCCAUAAGUUUAUGCAAGCUAGUAC
rnacentral:misc_RNA from 1 species